rnacentral:tRNA from 1 species
AGAGCUGUAGCUCAGUGGUAGAGCACCUGCUUUGCAUGCAGAAGGUCCCAGGUUCAAUCCCCAGCAUCUCUA